GACGAACGCUGGCGGCGUGCCUAAUACAUGCAAGUCGAGCGACUGGAUUAAGAGCUUGCCCUUAUGAAGUUAGCGGCGGACGGGUGAGUAACACGUGGAUAACCUGCCCAUAAGACUGGGAUAACUCCGGGAAACCGGGGCUAAUACCGGAUAACAUUUUGAACCGCAUGGUUCGAAAUUGAAAGGCGGCUUCGGCUGUCACUUAUGGAUGGACCCGCGUCGCAUUAGCUAGUUGGUGAGGUAACGGCUCACCAAGGCAACGAUGCGUAGCCGACCUGAGAGGGUGAUCGGCCACACUGGGACUGAGACACGGCCCAGACUCCUACGGGAGGCAGCAGUAGGGAGUCUUCCGCAAUGGACGAAAGUCUGACGGAGCAACGCCGCGUGAGUGAUGAAGGCUUUCGGGUCGUAAAACUCUGUUGUUAGGGAAGAACAAGUGCUAGUUGAAUAAGCUGGCACCUUGACGGUACCUAACCAGAAAGCCACGGCUAACUACGUGCCAGCAGCCGCAGUAA
rnacentral:rRNA from 1 species